UACGGAGGGAGCUAGCGUUGUUCGGAAUUACUGGGCGUAAAGCGCGCGUAGGCGGCUUUGUAAGUUAGAGGUGAAAACCCGGAGCUCAACUCCGGAACUGCCUUUAAAACUGCAUCGCUUGAAUCCAGGAGAGGUGAGUGGAAUUCCGAGUGUAGAGGUGAAAUUCGUAGAUAUUCGGAAGAACACCAGUGGCGAAGGCGGCUCACUGGACUGGUAUUGACGCUGAGGUGCGAAAGCGUGGGGAGCAAACAGG
rnacentral:rRNA from 1 species